rnacentral:rRNA from 2 species
UCCUACGGGAGGCAGCAGUAGGGAAUCUUCCGCAAUGGACGAAAGUCUGACGGAGCAACGCCGCGUGAGUGAUGAAAGGCUUUCGGGUCGUAAAACUCUGUUGUUAGGGAAGAACAAGUGCUAGUUGAAUAAGCUGGCACCUUGACGGUACCUAACCAGAAAGCCACGGCUAACUACGUGCCAGCAGCCGCGGUAAUACGUAGGUGGCAAGCGUUAUCCGGAAUUAUUGGGCGUAAAGCGCGCGCAGGUGGUUUCUUAAGUCUGAUGUGAAAGCCCACGGCUCAACCGUGGAGGGUCAUUGGAAACUGGGAGACUUGAGUGCAGAAGAGGAAAGUGGAAUUCCAUGUGUAGCGGUGAAAUGCGUAGAGAUAUGGAGGAACACCAGUGGCGAAGGCGACUUUCUGGUCUGUAACUGACACUGAGGCGCGAAAGCGUGGGGAGCAAACAGGAUUAGAUACCCUGGUAGUCCACGCCGUAAACGAUGAGUGCUAAGUGUUAGAGGGUUUCCGCCCUUUAGUGCUGAAGUUAACGCAUUAAGCACUCCGCCUGGGGAGUACGGCCGCAAGGCUGAAACUCAAAGGAAUUGACGGGGGCCCGCACAAGCGGUGGAGCAUGUGGUUUAAUUCGAA